UAACAACGAUUUUGCUUGCAAGUGGAUAUUCAUGUCGCAUAGACAAUGAUAUUCUGAGGUUUAGACGAGAACUGUUUGGUGUUGUGUAGCAAGGGAAUGAAGCUAACCCCAAUAUGCUUGUCUCCAUCAAAAUCAAACCAAAUUACACAGUAACAAACCACCUCGUACUCGUUUCAAACAACCUUGUACUUGUCUCAGUCUCAGAAAACAGCUGAAACCUUUUUGUUCAACCUAUAACAACAACUUGAUUGUUUGAUUCAGUCGUGGACUCGUGGGUCGGUUGCUUCCG
rnacentral:lncRNA from 1 species